rnacentral:rRNA from 1 species
ACUCCUACGGGAGGCAGCAGUGGGGAAUAUUGCACAAUGGGGGAAACCCUGAUGCAGCCAUGCCGCGUGUGUGAAGAAGGCCUUCGGUUGUAAAGCACUUUCAGUAGGGAGGAAGGUAGUGUAGUUAACACCUGCACUAUUUGACGUUACCUACAGAAGAAGCACCGGCUAACUCCGUGCCAGCAGCCGCGGUAAUACGGAGGGGUGCGAGCGUUAAUCGGAAUUACUGGGCGUAAAGCGCAUGCAGGCGGCCUGUUAAGUCAGAUGUGAAAGCCCGGGGGCUUAACCUCGGAAUUGCAUUUGAAACUGGCAGGCUAGAGUCUGUAGAGGGGGUAGGAAUUUCAGGUGUAGCGGUGAAAUGCGUAGAGAUCUGAAGGAAUACCAGUGGCGAAGGCGGCCCCUGGACAAAGACUGACGCUCAGAUGCGAAAGCGUGGGGAGC